rnacentral:rRNA from 1 species
UACGUAGGGUGCAAGCGUUAAUCGGAAUUACUGGGCGUAAAGCGUGCGCAGGCGGUUGUGCAAGACCGAUGUGAAAUCCCCGGGCUUAACCUGGGAAUGGCAUUGGUGACUGCACGGCUAGAGUGUGUCAGAGGGGGGUAGAAUUCCACGUGUAGCAGUGAAAUGCGUAGAGAUGUGGAGGAAUACCGAUGGCGAAGGCAGCCCCCUGGGAUAACACUGACGCUCAU